rnacentral:rRNA from 1 species
UACAGAGGGUGCGAGCGUUAAUCGGAAUUACUGGGCGUAAAGCGCGCGUAGGCGGCUUUGCAAGUCGGGUGUGAAAUCCCCAGGCUUAACCUGGGAACUGCAUUCGAGACUGCAUUGCUAGAGUAUGGGAGAGGGAAGUGGAAUUUCCGGUGUAAGCGGUGAAAUGCGUAGAUAUCGGAAGGAACAUCAGUGGCGAAAGGCGACUUCCUGGACCAAUACUGACGCUCAUGAUGCGGAAAGCGUGGGGAGCAAACAGG